AUUGAACGCUGGCGGCAUGCUUUACACAUGCAAGUCGAACGGUAACAGGUUAAGCUGACGAGUGGCGAACGGGUGAGUAAUGCAUCGGAACGUGCCCGAUCGUGGGGGAUAACGCAGCGAAAGCUGCGCUAAUACCGCAUACGAACUGAGGAUGAAAGCGGGGGACCGUAAGGCCUCGCGCGAUCGGAGCGGCCGGUGUCAGAUUAGGUAGUUGGUGGGGUGAAGGCCCACCAAGCCGACGAUCUGUAGAUGGUCUGAGAGGACGAGCAGCGACACUGGGACUGUGACACGGCCCAGACGCCUACGGGAGGCAGCAGUGGGGAAUUUUGGACAAUGGGCGAAAGCCUGAUCCAGCAAUGCCGCGUGCAGGGAGAAGGCCUUCGGGUUGUAAACUGCUUUUGUACGGAGCGAAAAGGUCCUUUCUAAUACAGGGGGCUCAUGACGGUACCGUAAGAAUAAGCACCGGCUAACUACGUGCCAGCCGCCGCGGUAA
rnacentral:rRNA from 1 species